UCUUCCGUAGUAUAGUGGUUAGUAUGGGAGCUUGUCACCUUCACAGGGUCCUCGUUCCAGACCCGGGUUCAAUUCCCGGCGGGAGAG